AAUGAAAGUGGCGUUAAAUAGGCCAUUAAACAACUUUUAGGCCAGAACAAGGUUGAAUCUUCCACGAGAUUCUUGUAAGACUCAUAAAAUGAAAGAGCCAGGAAGAAUAGGAGACCAGCGGUGGUCAGAGAAGGCAUAGAAACACCAUAGAAGGGAGGUCUUCGCAGGUGAUGGCGAUUAGGGUUAGGGUGAGUUGAGAGAGAACUGGAAUGUUGAGGGAAAUAGGUGACGG
rnacentral:lncRNA from 1 species